rnacentral:tRNA from 2 species
AGGCCAGUAGCUCUAAUUGGUUAGAGCGCCAGACUCCAAAUCUGGAUGUUGGGGGUUCGACUCCCUCCUGGCCUG